rnacentral:tRNA from 1 species
UCCUGCGUAGCUCAAUGGUAGAGUAGGUGACUGUUAAUCACUUGGUUAUAGGUUCGAGUCCUAUCGCAGGAGCCA